ACUUUAUAAAAAAAUAGAUCUACUUUAUCUUGAUACUAAACGUCAUUGUUUUAACCAUAUAGCUUACUUAAUUUUGGUAUUUUAGACUUUUGUGGCCUUUAAUCCUAUUAAUAUUGGAGGACGAAGCUGCAAAUAUCACGAAAAUAUAUUGCAAUUUGUUGUAACAAAAAUACAACCGUUGAUCUAAUAUAAACAUAAAUCUUCGUUGCCUCUUAUUAUAAAAUAUAUUACAAUACAAAGUGCUAUAUAAAUAUAUAUUACAAAACAAAUAUGGUUUUAGUUUUGUCUAAGAUAAAAUAGAUAAAUGCAUAAACACUUAAAUUAUAUGUCGGCAGCAAGUUGGAUGUAUUUUGCAAGUACUCCCCAACAUAAUAAUAGUGAAACAAAUGAUACAAGUUGCAAAAAAAAAAAAAAGCUUUUUGUUAUAGGCCGAGCCUAAUAAAAUAAUAAACGGGCCGAUGAUCUGUUAAAUGGUACUAUCCAUCUGAUGACGUGUACACGAAAACGCCCCACGCACGCUCCACGGUAGAUAUUUAAAACCCGAUCAAGCUCGCUUCUCCGCAUAGGCGCAUAGAUAUUUUCUUCCCUUUUUCUGAUUCUCAUAACUCUCUCUUCGUGCAUUUUCUCUGAGAAUUUUCUCCAGAUCCGUCGCCGAAGAUAUUUUUCUCUCUCGCCGGAGACAGAUUCUUCGAUUUUCUCAGGAUUCCGCUAAAAGUUACUGCUCAGGAACAAUGUCCGGGAAGAGGGAAUAGUACCCUAACUUGGUGCCACUUGUCAAUGGCUCGUAGAUCUGUUGCACAGCGUGCCUGGUUUUUGCAACCGGAACAGCAAUGACUUCAUGAGUCAUGGUAACAACAUCUUGGCCUAACCAAGGGAAAACAAAGGAGAAAAAGGAACACUAACAUCAGAUCAAGCUGUUGAUGGGUCAGCAAGAAAGAAACUGAAGUCGUUCAUAUUUUUUUCAUAUGUAGAUACCACAAGCAGUUAUGGGUUUCAUUCAAAAUGACCGGGUGUAUUCAAGGAGCAUUAGAUAAUCACCAUGGCUGAAUGCUGUAAAGCUUAUUAUCUCAUCUUCAGCCUAACACAGUGGCACGAGCUAUACACUAAAGCAUUCUAGGAUUACCUUGCUCUUUAAUCCCAGGCAAUGCAGAGAAAAACAAUCGAUAGAACCACUAGUUAUAUCAAUGACCUACGUAGAAUUGUAAGUCGCGAAGAACAUGGUCUGACUAUUACAAUUGCUUCAGCGAGAGCUGUUGUUAGUGUUGGACUUCUCUUUAGUUCUAUUGGCUAAACAAUUAUUUGGUUAUCCAAACUUGGAUAAUUCAACCGGUGAAAUAUAUGCGCAAAACGUUUCUUCCGCCUCGAAUUCGAUCCUCAAGUUUGGAGAGGAGCGUAUAUUCCAAAUCAUGUAACUGACAUCCGAUCCCGAGAUUAGUUUGGGUCUUGGUCCAGAACACUCGGUUACCAAAAUAAUUUUUUGAUUGUCAUUCUAAGCUUUGGUCGAUCAAACCGAACUCUAGUCGUUUUUUCCAAUGAAAGGAUGCAAUAUUUUUGUUCAUCACUCACUCACUCGUCUUUUCCAAUGAUUGAAUUUUCUUUCUGUGAUCGGUCUCUUCUAAAUAAGGAAUUAUUCCCAAACUUGGUUUUAUAUAUCCAAGUCUUCGUAUUAUAGUCGGAUUUAAAUGGAUGAGAAGCAUGGUCGAACAGACCGAAAGAGCUCUUGUUAUACUUAUCCUCGUGAUAAUUAUUUAUAACAGAAAAUCCAUAUGAUCAAUGAGACUAUGUAAGAAACAUCGCAAAUGCAGAUGCAUAAAAGAAAUGGAUGUUAUUUCGCUAGGUUUUGUUAUGCCUAGAAGUUUUUGUUAGCCAACCCAUAUACCACAUGUAUAGCAGACGAAAGACACCACGACGGUAAGCUACAAGAAGGAUGGUGGGCGCAUGCCAAGAAGAGCAACACUCAUAGUUAGGCCAUUUGGUCAGAAUUAGGCUAAUUGAGCUUGGUAUGGUUCAUUUCAAAAGGCAUUAUUAAUGGGCAUUAUAUAAAAAAUGUCAUUCCUUUCCUAUUUUGAUUUCAACACAUAUCUCCAAUUGUGACCUUAUGACCCAUGUGAUCAGAAAUAUAGUCUGAUCAAAUCCUGGUCUUAUUGACAAUAAUGUUAAAUUUAUGGUGAUCAUAUUAAUUCAUUAUGUUCAUACAUUGAAAAUCUCAUAAAUCGUUUGAUUAAAACAUUAUAAAUUUAACGUUAUGACCAAUGAGAUCAACCUGUGACCACACUAUAUUUCAGAUCAUUUGAGUAAUAGGAUCACAGUUAGAGAAAGUAUGUGUUGAAGUUAAAAUAGAAAGGGAGAGUAUUUUUUAUAAUGCCCUUUAUUAUGUCCAUAUAUAUAGAAUUCUCUCGUUAAUAAGACAUUUUUUUUUGGGAUUUUGAAGAAAUGGUAAUAGUUUAGUUAGGUAAGCGCAUUCGAUGCUCUUAAAGCUGAAUAUGGGACUCGGAAAUUUCUAUCAAAGUCGUUAGAUUCAACUACAUUUCUUCUAUUUGGGUCAAUAAGAACCAGACUCGUUCGGAAGCCGCGACAGUCGAACAAAGUAUGAUAUAAUUGAAAGAGACAUAGACAACAUAGCCAACAAAUAAAGUUGUUGAGGUGACAGAAUAGAUUGAGAGUGACUCGGGGUCUUUUGCAUUCGAAUGCUAAAGUUCAUUUUUGUUCCUUCGAGAUGUCCUCAUAUACAGUAACGGGGAAGAAGAACAAUGACACUUGCGCAUCGUUUUGUUCAAAGUGAGGGAACAUCAAUUGAUGACUAACAGGAAGAAAUGUUGUUUUAGUAUGUGUAGAGGCGAAUAUCUUGGCCACAUUGUCACAUGCAAAGGUAUAGAGGUCGAUCAAACCAAAAUUAGCGCGGUGACAAAAUGACCUAUUGCGAAAAUUGCCCCAUCGCAUUCAUAAGCUAAGCUUUUACAAGACCGACCAAGGUCAAAUCUUAAUAUGAAAAAGAGUUCAUGAUAAUCGUAGUUAUCUAACAGUGGCAACAUUAUUUUUGUGGACACAAGUUUGUGGUCGCCCUAUCCCGAUGACCAUUUACCAAGCGACACAUUUAAACCAAUUGUCAACUACUUCAGCUCAACAAAUGGAUCUAAUAGAAGUAGAUGUGGAUACGACAUAAUUGUUAACCCCAUUUUAUCCAUUGUACUGUGAAAUCUUCAGGACGAAAAGGUAGUCAGUCUAUUUCACCCAAUUAACCAUUAGUAGAUUGGCAAACGAAUCUUUAUUCUAUGUUCAUGUGAUCUCCCGUUAAAUUUGUUAGGAGAGUUUCAUAACCUUCUUAUAGGUGGUCAUUCAGGGAUCAAUAAAAUUUACUGAAGGUUGAAGUGAGAAAUGUUCUAAUGCGGUAUGUAGAAGGAUGUCAUAAUCCUUAUGGAUGUCUGUGAUAUAUGCCAACGCUUCAAGGGUUCAACACAUUUAUCAAUAGGUUGAUUGCCUUUACUAAUUCCAUAGAGAGUAAAAGUGAUAUCCCUAUGGAUUUUAUGGAAGGUCUUCCUGUGUCUAAACGACUGGUCGAUCGCCCAAAGCAAAUGUGUUCAUUUCUUGACACUGAAACAUCUUUUAUUCGGUAUACGGAUGGUAGAACUGUUCUUCUGGGAUAUCAUGCGCCUCCACAAGAUACUAGAAUCUAUUGUCUCGAAUCGAGACAUGGUUUUCCUUAGUCAAUUUUGAAAGACCCUUUUUGAACUCUACGAAAUUAAAUUGAAGAUGAGCACUAUGUAUCUUCCAUAGAUCGAAUGAGUGAAAUAGACAAAAUAUUGGUACAACACAUCAUUACAUAGAUCCAUACCAAUGAUGCCUUUUCAGGCAGUUUAUGAAAGAGAAUCUCUGAUUUUGUGACGACAAAUCAGUCAUGAAUGUCUCCAAGACUUGCUUUCUAAAAUGGUGUAAGAAUAGGAUCUUACAUAGGUAACUCUAGAUUAGCCUUAAUCGAGCACAAGUGAUUACGAGGCAUACCAAUAUGCAAAAUGCCGAUCCUAGGAAUUUUGGAAAGUUGAUUUAGCCUUCUUGCGCAUACGACCUUAACAGAUGGGGUCAUUAGCACGAAAUUUUCUUGAAAGUUAGGGUCCAAGUAUUUCGGUCCCUGUGAGGUGGUCAAACGAAUCAGUAAGUCAACUUAUACAUUGGCUUUGUCCCCCCACGACGACAAUUCAUCUGAUUUUCCAUGUUUACCUUUUGAACCAAUAGUGAGAAUUACAAAUUGUCGAACCGAGGAAAUACCUCUGGGAUUGACAGCAGAUCUCGACGGCGAGUAGAACAGGAAAGCUUUCAUGGGAAACGAGAAUCUAACACUAAUAGGGGUACAAAGGUAUUGAUCCAUUGGAGAGGAUUUUCAGACUUUGAGGCAACUUGGGAACCUAUUGAAGGUUUUUUAGAGCGAUUCUAUAAGUUUCACCUUGAGGAUAAUGUGAACAUAGGAGGAGGGGUGUAUUGUUAGGCGGCCCAUGUACCACACAUAUAGGAGAAAGGGCAAGCAGUCUGAAAAACACAACGGGGUAGAAGACGGUAAGGCAUAGAGAAUGGUGGGCUCAUGUAGAGAAGAGGAGUAGUUGGGGUCUCACUAGGCCAUUUGGUCCUAAUUAGGCCUUAUGGUUUAUUUUAUUUUGGAUUUUAUGUUUUAUUGUUAUUUGAAGCUUUAAUUAAUUAUUAAACCAUAACAUCUCAUCUAAUGUAUCUGUAUAAGAGUGUUUUCUCUCAUUAAUAAGACAUUUUUGGGUUUUUACACGAGGUAGCAGUUGAGUUUGAGAUUAAAAUUGAGGUUGAGUUAAUAAGACAGUCUUUUGGUA